GACAGAGGUGGCAAGCGUUGCUCGGAUUCACUGGGCUUAAAGGGCGCGUAGGCGGCGUUGUAAGUCCGAGGUGGAAUUCCACAGCUUAACUGUGGAACUGCCUUUGAUACUGCAAGGCUUGAGUCAGGUAGAGGAGGGCGGAAUUCCCGGUGUAGCGGUGAAAUGCGUAGAUAUCGGGAGGAAGGCCGGUGGCGAAGGCGGCCCUCUGGGCCUGUACUGACACUGAGGCGCGAAAGCGUGGGGAGCAAACAGG
rnacentral:rRNA from 1 species